rnacentral:rRNA from 1 species
AAUACAGAGGGUGCAAGCGUUAAUCGGAUUUACUGGGCGUAAAGCGUGCGUAGGCGGUUUGCUAAGUCGGUUGUGAAAUCCCUGGGCUUAACCUGGGAACUGCAGUCGAUACUGGCGGACUAGAGUACGGUAGAGGGUGGCGGAACUCCGGGUGUAGCGGUGAAAUGCGUAGAUAUCCGGAAGAACACCGAUGGCGAAGGCAACCACCUGGGCCUGUACUGACGCUGAGGUACGAAAGCGUGGGGAGCAAACGGG